GAUUAAGAACGUAGCGAAAUGCGAUAAGUAGUGUGAAUUGCAGAAUUCAGUGAAUCAUCGAAUCUUUGAACGCACAUUGCGCCCUUUGGUAUUCCAAAGGGCAUGCCUGUUCGAGCGUCAUUUGUACCCUCAAGCUUUGCUUGGUGUUGGGCGUCUUGUCUCUAGCUUUGCUGGAGACUCGCCUUAAAGUAAUUGGCAGCCGGCCUACUGGUUUCGGAGCGCAGCACAAGUCGCACUCUCUAUCAGCAAAGGUCUAGCAUCCAUUAAGCCUUUUUUUCAACUUUUGACCUCGGAUCAGGUAGGGAUACCCGCUGAACUUAAGCAUAUCAAUAAGCGGAGGA
rnacentral:misc_RNA from 1 species